AAUCUCUGGCCAUACCGGCUUGAAUGUAUUAAGUGCCAUCUGAUCAGGGAAGCUAAGCAGGGUUGGGCUGGGUUAGUAUGUAGAUGGGAAAAUUUAGAGGAGGCAUUUGGGAGCCGACAUUC
rnacentral:rRNA from 1 species